CACGGGGGGAGCAAGCGUUGUCCGGAAUCACUGGGCGUAAAGGGCGUGUAGGCGGUCAAGUAAGUGGAAUGUGAAAGCCCCCGGCUUACCCGGGGAUCUGCAUCCCAAACUGCUUGGCUUGAGUACGGGAGAGGAUAGGGGAAUUCCUGGUGUAGCGGUGAAAUGCGUAGAUAUCAGGAGGAACACCGGUGGCGAAGGCGCCUAUCUGGCCCGAUACUGACGCUGGGGCGCGAAAGCUAGGGGAGCAAACGGG
rnacentral:rRNA from 1 species